AGAGAAAUGCAAGGAAGAGAAAGGGGCAGUGGCUAUCAACGUCGUUCUGGGCAUUUUCGGCGGCCAAUAACGACAAUUUUGAUCCUAAAAUGACCGAUGAGUUAAUGGCUUUCUUUUAAAAAUAGCGGCGUCGGCUUUGGUGGCUAGAGGAAGGAGUUCCGGUGAAGUAAAGGCGGCCAGGAUCUCGUGCUUUUUCGGCGAGUUCUGGCAAGGGAUGAUCGAUUAGAGGACAUAUCCGGAAUCCCCUCAGCUCAAGCUUUCCAAUGGCACCGGUUUCGUGGCGAUUGGACUCCGUUUGAAAAUUGACGGCCGAGAUCGUCUGUAAAUUUCUUCGUAUGAUCGGAGGUCGGAUUAGAGGAUCGGAAGCUGAAAUCAUCAUCAGCACGUUAUUUCAAAUUCGUGGCGCAUUUGGAUCGUUGGUCCAACUCCGGCGGCUAGAGGCAAGUCGACCGAGUGAUCAAGCGUCUCGAUAAAUCCGUCAGUUCGGUUGGCUCCACCCGAGGCAUCGAAGCAGGGCUAGGAGGUCAUCAGAACUGUGUUGUUAGCUUUUCUGCAGUUCUUUUCAUUUAGCAGCCCGAUUCCUUCAUCUUCGGGUUAAUGUAACUAAUUUUUAGUAUGUUUGAAUUUUAAACUUUUAGAAUCUCCGCAGUAGAAAUUUCAGACUUUCAUUUUGAAAUUUUAUGUAAAUUCAGGUCUUGCCAAAUUAUGCUGACAGGCCGAAUUAAAUAUGUAGUAUCUGAUGGCUAAAUGUUAAUUGUGGAAUAGAGCUAAUGGUUUGAAUC